ACGAACGCUGGCGGCAGGCUUAACACAUGCAAGUCGAACGCCCGUAGCAAUACGGGAGUGGCGGACGGGUGAGUAACGCGUGGGAACGUGCCCUGAGGUACGGAAUAACUGAGGGAAACUUCAGCUAAUACCGUAUGAGCCCCGCAAGGGGAAAGGAUUUAUUCGCCUUGGGAGGCGGCCCGCGUCGGAUUAGCUAGUUGGGUGGGGUAACGGGCCUACCAAGGCUUCGAUCCGUAGCUGGUCUGAGAGGACGAUCAGCCACACUGGGACUGAGACACGGCCCAGACUCCUACGGGAGGCAGCAGUGGGGAAUCUUGCGCAAUGGGCGGAAAGCCUGACGCAGCCAUGCCGCGUGAAUGAUGAAGGCCUUAGGG
rnacentral:rRNA from 1 species